rnacentral:rRNA from 1 species
UACGUAGGGUGCGAGCGUUGUCCGGAAUUAUUGGGCGUAAAGAGCUUGUAGGCGGUUUGUCGCGUCUGCUGUGAAAAUCCGGGGCUCAACUCCGGACUUGCAGUGGGUACGGGCAGGCUAGAGUUCGGUAGGGGAGACUGGAAUUCCUGGUGUAGCGGUGAAAUGCGCAGAUAUCAGGAGGAACACCGGUGGCGAAGGCGGGUCUCUGGGCCGAUACUGACGCUGAGGAGCGAAAGCGUGGGGAGCGAACAGG